CCCUUAGAUGUUCUGGGCCGCACGCGCGCUACACUGAUGCAUUCAACGAGUCUAAAACCUGCUCUGAUAGGGGUGGGUAAUCUUUUGAAUGUGCAUCGUGAUUGGGAUAGAUGAUUGCAAUUUUUCAUCUUCAACGAGGAAUGCCUAGUAGGCGCAAGUCAUCAGCUUGCGUCGAUUACGUCCCUGCCCUUUGUACACACCGCCCGUCGCUCCUACCGAUUGGGUGUGCUGGUGAAAUGUUCGGAUCGGCCGUUUGUCGCGGUUUCCGCGGCUCGUGGCUGAGAAGUUCAUUAAACCCUCCCACCUAGAGGAAGGAGAAGUCGUAACA
rnacentral:rRNA from 1 species